rnacentral:misc_RNA from 1 species
AUCCAGGUUCAGAGCUAGAG